rnacentral:rRNA from 1 species
GAUGAACGCUGGCGGCGUGCCUAAUACAUGCGAGUCGAGCGAACAGACGAGGAGCUUGCUCCUCUGACGUUAGCGGCGGACGGGGGAGUAACAUGUGGAUAACCUACCUAUAAGACUGGGAUAACUUCGGGAAACCGGAGCUAAUACCGGAUAAUAUAUUGAACCGCAUGGUUCAAUAGUGAAAGACGGUUUUGCUGUCACUUAUAGAUGGAUCCGCGCCGCAUUAGCUAGUUGGUAAGGUAACGGCUUACCAAGGCAACGAUGCGUAGCCGACCUGAGAGGGUGAUCGGCCACACUGGAACUGAGACACGGUCCAGACUCCUACGGGAGGCAGCAGUAGGGAAUCUUCCGCAAUGGGCGAAAGCCUGACGGAGCAACGCCGCGUGAGUGAUGAAGGUCUUCGGAUCGUAAAACUCUGUUAUUAGGGAAGAACAAAUGUGUAAGUAACUAUGCACGUCUUGACGGUACCUAAUCAGAAAGCCACGGCUAACUACGUG